GCAGAAGGAUUUGGAUAUCCAGGAAAUGAAGUCUACCCUUAAGGAAUACACGUCAGUUAUAGAGAUUUUGCGCGUAGAGAAGAAUAAAUUGAUGAAUAAUGUUCAGCACAUGCAACAGGAGCUGAUCUCGAAUGGAAUAAACUUUCCCUUGAUAUACAAGCUGAAUAGCAGCAUCCUUGACGGGACCAAUUCCUUACACUGGGAACUGGAACUGGCUCAACGACAGCC